UGUUUCCAGUGGCUGCAGUGGGAUUCAAGAUUUCCUAAUCAACGAAAUGCCAGCUCUUACAGGCAGAUGUAUUCAAGGAAUAACGAAAUUACUGCUUUAAGUUACAAAUUGAUGAGUAAAUGCUGCCCAUACAUCAAGCACAUUCAUACGGCGGAUUGCCAGAGGACUACAGAUGCUGCUCUUAAGAUGAUUUUGCCAUUGAAGCAUACUCUUGUACUGGAUGUGGCAGACUGUAUAAGUUUUAGGGAUUCUGCUUUGAUGUGCAAUGAAAGUACCUUUUGUGCCUGCUGAUGCUGUAUGAAAACGUGAUGACAUCGCAUGUAGAAGCGCUGAGAAGUGCUGGAGCAAUACCACGCCGUCAGGUUGGUAGUUCAGCUGGGCAGGUGGGACAGCUGCCUGCAUUUUCUGCUUUAACAUUCAGAAGGCUGGAUUUUCCAGUCUGUUAGCCAGAUCUCGGGCUGUGAGUGUGUUUGCACAUGUGUCUACUGUCUCUACAGCUAAAGAACUGAUGAAUUACCUUAACAAAACAUUUUAAGCAAUUGUAAAGC
rnacentral:lncRNA from 1 species